rnacentral:rRNA from 1 species
CCUACGGGGUGCAGCAGUGAGGAAUAUUGGUCAAUGGACGAGAGUCUGAACCAGCCAAGUAGCGUGAAGGAUGACUGCCCUAUGGGUUGUAAACUUCUUUUAUAUGGGAAUAAAAUGUUCCACGUGUGGGAUUUUGUAUGUACCAUAUGAAUAAGGAUCGGCUAACUCCGUGCCAGCAGCCGCGGUAAUACGGAGGAUCCGAGCGUUAUCCGGAUUUAUUGGGUUUAAAGGGAGCGUAGGUGGAUUGUUAAGUCAGUUGUGAAAGUUUGCGGCUCAACCGUAAAAUUGCAGUUGAAACUGGCAGUCUGGAGUACAGUAGAGGUGGGCGGAAUUCGUGGUGUAGCGGUGAAAUGCUUAGAUAUCACGAAGAACUCCGAUUGCGAAGGCAGCUCACUGGACUGCAACUGACACUGAGGCUCGAAAGUGUGGGUAUCAAACAGGAUUAGAUACCCGAGUAGUC